UUCCUUAGUAUCAAUCACAUAAAAAUCAGCAGGAAAGACUAGUUCAUUUACUUGAACUAACACAUCUUCUAGAACACCUAUGGGAUAUACCACAGAUCUAUCAGCUAGUUGAAUCACAACUCUUGUUUCUUUGAGUGCACAUGCAUUGAGAGAUUUAUAGAUGGAGAGAGGCAUGACAUUUAUGGAUGCACCAAGAUCACACAUGGCUUUCCUUAUACCAACAUUCCCUAUCUUGCAAGAGAUAGCAAACAUACCUUUGUCUUUGCACUUAGUAGGGAGUUCUCUUUUAAUAACAGCAGUCACAACCUCACCUACACUUACUUUUUCUCUCUCUGCAAGCUUUCUCCUAUUAGUGCAAAGUUCCUUCAGAAAUUUAGCGUACCUGGGAAUCUGCUUAACAGCAUCUAGCAGAGGUAUAUUGAUUUGUACUUUUCUGAAAGUGUCAAGGAUCUCCUUUUCUUCUUUUUCUUUUUGUGUUCUUUCAAAUCUCUUGGGAAAAGGAGGUGGAAUGUGAAAGCUUACAUUUGGGUCAGUCUUUUGCGCAGGAGGAGCUGCGGAUUGCGAUGAAGAGGCUUCAGAUCGCCUUGGAUGUUGUGCAGAGGGUGUCUCAGAUGAUGUACGCUUUGGUUCAACUUGCUUUUCCUCCUCAAAUUUUGCAUCUUGAAGCUCUUUCCCACUUCUCAAAGUAAUGGCACUUACAUUUUGAUUGGGAUUUGCCUCAGUUUGGGAUGGCAACUUUCCUUGAGUUUCCAAUCUGUUUAUGGAGGUGGCCAUUUGUCCUAUCUGUUGUUGUAUCAUUUGCAAGGUCUUCACUACUUCAUUCAUAGUGUUAUUGUCCACUGGAGGUGCUGGUUGGACUUGGCUUCUUUGGUAACCUUGGUGAUUCUGAUCAGUGUUGCCCUUUCCAUAGCUGAAAUUGGGAUGGUCUCUCCAACCUGGAUUAUAGGUGUUGGAGUAUGGAUCAUAUCUAGGCUGGUUGUUGUACCUCCCAAUGGCGUUGGCUUGCUGAUGGUCUUCUUGGAGUGUGGGACAUUGAUCAGUUGGGUGUCCCACACAUAAACAAAUCCCACAUGGCCUAGGUGGCUGGGGUGCUUGAAUCUGUUGUACCACAUCCACCACAGCAUUUUUUAUAACAGAUGUUAGUUCAGACAUAGAAGGAAAAUUUACCUCAUUGGCCCUUUGUAGUUGCCUCUCUUCUCCAUAUUGCCUAGAUGAGGCUGCAAGAGUGGAGAUUAAUUCUCUCAUUUGUCUAGGUGUUUUGUCUUCAAUGGAGCCUCCACAGGUUACAUAAAUGAAUUUUCUUUCUGAGGGAGAUAAUCCUCCAUAGAAGAAUUGUAUAAGGGCCUUGUCUGACAUGUCAUGUUGAGGGCAUUCUGUGCAAAGUCUUUCAAACCUUUCCCAAUAAUCAUAAAGGUCCUCAGAUGGUUUUUGCUUUAUGCUUGUGAUUUCCCUUAUUAUGCCAAUUGAUUUAUGGGUUGGGAAGUAUUUAUUCAAAAAGGCUUUGACCAUAUCAUCCCAAGAAGUAAUAGAUCCAGGUGGCAAGUAAAAUAACCAAUCUUUAGCAAAGUCUUCUAAUGAAAAGGGGAAGGCUCUUAACUUAAUUUGGUCUUCAGAGAUACCUUGAGGUUUCAUAGAUGAACAGAUCAUAUUGAAUGCUUUUAAGUGCUUGUGUGAAUUUUCAUUUUCUCUACCUCUAAACUUAGGGAGAAUGUGUAUCAAACCUGUCUUCAGUUCAAAGGGAACUGUCAGAAGUGGGUAGGUGAUGCAAAGUGGUGCAUAGUCACCUACAGGGGUUGCCAAUUCUCCCAUAGUUCUUUCUCUUUGUUCUUAAGGCCUAUUUGCUGGAUUUUCUUGGACUAUUUGAUUCUGGAUAGCAAGUCCAUUUGGGGCAGCAUCUUGUGGAAUAGGUUCAGCCAUUGGUGCAGCUUGUUGGUAAAAUUCGGUUGCUUCAGAUGAAGCUUCUGCGGCUUGCUUUCUAAGUCUUCUGAGAGUGCGUUCAAUUUCUGGAUCAAAGGGCAGUGUGUCCCUGUGUUCAGAUCUGGUCAUGAAAAAAAACAAACAAACAAGUGAAAUCAACUCCCCGGCAACGGCGCCAAUUUUUGACUCGCGGUUGUCUAAGCCGGUCAAAAAUAACCUUCCUGGUUAUCAACAAUUUUACAACUGCAGAUAGUGGUGAAAGGAUCGAAUCCACAGAGAAUUGAUUACCUAUUUAUUUUUCUCAACAAGACCAAUAAAAUGAACUGAAACAAUAAUAAAUUAAAGAUGAGAUAAAAGACUGAAAGUGGGAUCAAAUGAGAUAAACUGGAAGCAGAAUAAAAAUAAAUUGCAAUAAAAGUAAAAUGGGGGGGGUUUGAGAUUGAUUGUAGUAACUAAUAAUGAGAGUAAUAAUAGAAAGCAAAUAAUUAAAAUAAAAGAGUAAAUCAAUAUGAGAAAAGCCUAGUUGAAGAUAUGUAUCCACUUUGGUUGUUUGGGUUGAUCAUUGAAACUUAAAUUAUCUUGAUUGGUUCAAUAGAUUAGUUAUGGGGGUGGAAGACGCUUCUCACCACCAUGUCUCUCCUUAUGAUUAAAUUAAUUAGGGAACGUCCUCUAAUUAAUUACUAAUUAAUAAAUUGCCAAGGAACGUCCUUGGGCCAUAGGCAUCAAAACAAUUGUCAAUUGCAUAAAGAAAUAGAGAGAUCCAAUCCUAACUACCCAAACGUAUGGAGAUAACGCUAGAUCAUGCAAUUCCUUGGUUCUUACGCCAAGUGUUCUAAGGUCAGAAUAUUUCCAGCAAUUACGGACUAAAAAUAAUCCCAACUAACAAUCAAUUAACUUUGCAAUUAAAACCAAGUGGCCAAUUUGAUCAAAACAACAAAAUAAUCAUAUAAUUAAAGCAUCAAUUGCAUAAAUAUUGAAUAAAACCAAAGACAAUAAUUUAUGUUCAGAUCUCACAACCCAUUAAACAACCUUAGUUUCAACAAAUCCUCAACUAGAUAAAAGAAAUUAGCCACUCAUUGGCUAAAUUAAAAACAUAAAAAAUAAAAAGGAAAAAGAAAGGAACCGANNNNNNNNNNNNNNNNNNNNNNNNNNNNNNNNNNNNNNNNNNNNNNNNNNNNNNNNNNNNNNNNNNNNNNNNNNNNNNNNNNNNNNNNNNNNNNNNNNNNNNNNNNNNNNNNNNNNNNNNNNNNNNNNNNNNNNNNNNNNNNNNNNNNNNNNNNNNNNNNNNNNNNNNNNNNNNNNNNNNNNNNNNNNNNNNNNNNNNNNNNNNNNNNNNNNNNNNNNNNNNNNNNNNNNNNNNNNNNNNNNNNNNNNNNNNNNNNNNNNNNNNNNNNNNNNNNNNNNNNNNNNNNNNNNNNNNNNNNNNNNNNNNNNNNNNNNNNNNNNNNNNNNNNNNNNNNNNNNNNNNNNNNNNNNNNNNNNNNNNNNNNNNNNNNNNNNNNNNNNNNNNNNNNNNNNNNNNNNNNNNNNNNNNNNNNNNNNNNNNNNNNNNNNNNNNNNNNNNNNNNNNNNNNNNNNNNNNNNNNNNNNNNNNNNNNNNNNNNNNNNNNNNNNNNNNNNNNNNNNNNNNNNNNNNNNNNNNNNNNNNNNNNNNNNNNNNNNNNNNNNNNNNNNNNNNNNNNNNNNNNNNNNNNNNNNNNNNNNNNNNNNNNNNNNNNNNNNNNNNNNNNNNNNNNNNNNNNNNNNNNNNNNNNNNNNNNNNNNNNNNNNNNNNNNNNNNNNNNNNNNNNNNNNNNNNNNNNNNNNNNNNNNNNNNNNNNNNNNNNNNNNNNNNNNNNNNNNNNNNNNNNNNNNNNNNNNNNNNNNNNNNNNNNNNNNNNNNNNNNNNNNNNNNNNNNNNNNNNNNNNGCCCAUAGGCAUUAAAACAAUUGUCAAUUGCAUAAAGAAAUAGAGAGAUCCAAUCCUAACUACCGAAACGUAUGGAGAUAACGCUAGAUCAUGCAAUUCCUUGGUUUUUACGCCAAGUGUUCUAAAGUCAGAAUAUUUCCAGCAAUUACGGACUAAAAAUAAUCCCAACUAACAAUCAAUUAACUUUGCAAUUAAAAUCAAGUGGCCAAUUUGAUCAAAACAACAAAGUAAUCAUGUAAUUAAAGCAUCAAUUGCAUAAAUAUUGAACAAAAUCAAAGACAAUAAUUUAUGUUCAGAUCUCACAACCCAUUAAACAACCUUAAUUUCAACCAAUCUUCAACUAGAAUUAAAGAAAUCAGCCACUCAUUGGCUAAUUUAAAAACAAAAUAAUAAAAGGAAAAUAAAAGAGGAAGAAGGAACCGAAAUUGAAAUCUUGAAUUCUGCCUCCCUGCGGAAUUCGCCGAUUUGAGGAAUUGAAUUGUGCCUUUAAGGUCCCUUAAAUAGAGUGCAGAGGAGCCCUAGUUGCCAUCCACGCACGCGGUCCUGUGCGUGAGUGGAUCAGGUGUGGUGAUGUGCUGGGACGGGCGAGUGGACGCGCGGAGCCUGGAGUGCGCGAUCUGAGGUCCACGUGAGGAAAUGGCCUUGGUCCAUGUGAGGGAGUGCUUCGGCGGGCCUUGCGCUCGGGUGGAUCCACGUCCAUGUGAAGGAAUUGAUGGAGCUGGCGGGGCGUGAUUGUGUGGAGCGCGAGUACGUGAAUUUCGGUCCUCGCGCGUGAAUGGGCUGUCCACGGAGUGAAUUGCUGAAGAAGUGCGCUUGGUUGUGUUACUGGACUUGUGACGUGAGCGUCUCAUGUGCUGUGAAUGGGGAAGCGCGAGCCCAUGUGAGUGUUGAGCGGAUCCAUGGUAAAAAUUAUGAAGUGGCUAGGCGGGGCCCCCGUGCGUAGAGGUGCGGAAGCUUUGCAAUGCAUGGCCUAUUGCGUGAGUGGCUUGUGUGGAUUGGGUGCUGCUUGGCCCAUGUAAGAAUGGGCUGAUCCGUUAAUGGUCCCAUGUGCUGAGUGAUGAAGACUUUGGCGGGCUUGCUUUCUUUUACUCUAAAUAGGGCAGUUUUAGAAAAUUUUCUUUAAAUUAUCCUUUUAUACCAAAAUAAUAUUAAAAAUAAUAAAUUACAUAGAAAUCAUGUAAAUAUUUAUCAAUAAUAUUAAUAUAAAAUGGAUUAAAUUAUAUUCUAUCAAAAUAUAUAUAUAUAUAUAGAAGGCAUUGUACAUAUCCAAUAUGAAAAAUAUAAUUUUCUAUUCUUAUUUAUUGUUUACUGCAUCAAGUUUUAUAGAGGUAUUUUUAUCAAUAAUUAGUUUUCUUUGUUUAUAGAAAUGAAGUAUAAAUUAUCCAAUCAUUUGUUAAUCCUUAUAAAAAAAAACUUUAAAAAGGAAAUGUGACAAAAGGUAUGAGAUUCAUGCAAAAUUAUAAUUCAAAUAAUAAAUAUAUUAACCUAUACAAUCUGAUAAUAGAUAUUUAAUUUAAAAAAAUUUUGACCUCGUUAUUGCUCCUCUAUCUAAAAAAGUAUUACUUUAAUAAAAUAUAGGUAAUAGAGUUAAAAUAAUAAAUUUUCUUUAUUAUUUUUCUAGUAUAUUUAUGCAUUUAUAUUACUUCAUUAAAAAUAAAAAUAAAAAUUCAUAUUAUUAUUUUGUUUUAUAGAACUAAUGAAUUUCACCUUUUUACUGAAUUAUAAUAAACUAAUAAAUAAAUUAUUAUAUGAAUAAAAAUUUAUAAUUUAAAAAUUAUAUCUAUUUUUAUAAAUGCAGGGAAUAUUUCAACGUGCAUUCCAUGUUAUUAUUCUUGAUAUGCAUGAUCGUUAUUUAAAUAAAAUAAAAUUAUAUCUAUUUUAUAUAAUUAUUUUUAUUUUUUUAUAUUUUUCAUUUAUUUUUAAAAUUUUGAAAAUAGUAAUAACAAUUAAUUUUAUAAGUGAUUAUCCAACACUAUCAAUUCUAUUAAUUGAAAAGUAUUUAUUAUAUUUUUUUAAUUAAUCAUUAAUUAUUAUACUUUUACCAAUAAAAUAAAAAAUAUUAGACAAUUAUUUGAGAAAUAACUGUUGCAUUUCUCUAAAAAUUUAUAUCAAUAUUAAUUUUUUAAGCAAAUACAGACAUUAAUAUAUUAUUGUUUUUAAAGUUUAAACACUAAUUUUUUUCUCUCUUAUCACUUUGUUUUCUUAUUUCCUUCAAUGAAUUAUUCCCCCGACAUCUAUUGAGCUAUAUAUAUUUAAAUUAUUAUUUUACUUUUAAAUAUUAAUUCUAAAAAAUAAAUGUGUUAUUAAAAAUAAAAUAUUUUUAACAUUUUAUUAAAUUAAAUUAAAAUAAAUCAAAUUAACGCGCUAAAUACAAACAUUCGACGCACAAAAUUAUCACAUUCAAUUAAUUAUAAAAUAAUUUAUUAUUAUAAAAAAUGUUUAAAAUAAUGAUUACAAAUUAUUAUUUAUAUUUAAACUGUAAUUACAAAUCAAGCGUAAUAAUUUAAAAAUCACUAAAAAAUAUAAGAAUUUACUUAUAUUUUCACUAUGAUUAAAAAAUACAAUUAAAAUUAUAAUUUUAUUAAAUAUAAAAUAAAUUAUUUAUUGAAAUAUAUUAUUAUAUAUAAUAAAAAAUUAAAAUUUCUUUUCAGUUAAGAUAAUAAUUUUAUAAUAUUUAUUAUAAUAUUACUCUAUAAACCCAAAAAUAUAGUAGGAUUACAAUCACAUAUCACAUUCAAAAAGAGUUGUGUGGAGUAAGAAUUUUCCUUUAAAUUCCUCUAAUUACCAAAUUAAUAAAUGCAAUUACACUAGAUUAAACUUCUAAAAAUAUUGUAAUCAUAUCAAAUUUAAUGAUAAAACUGAAAAUGCUAUUAACUCAACUAGCAAAAUACAUACUAUCUAAAAUGCAAAAUUAACUAGAAUGAGUAUAAAUUAAUUGUUUUUUUUUUUUAUUUCUUUUGAACAUAAAAUUUAGAUAAUGCAUCACUCUCCCUAGGCUAGCUGCUCUAAUUAAAGUUUGAUUGCAGAUCAAUUUACAUCUAAUUGAUUUAUGUGUUGAUGUGAAACUGCAAACUAAUUAAAUAUCUUUAACACAAAAGAGUUCUAAGAUAAUUUAAGUUUAACCAAAUCAAUGAAUUAAACCUAAAUAUAUAUUCAUAAUUACACUAUUAAAUUUAAAACAUUAUGUCAAAAAAUUUAAUUCCAAAUUACAAUUUUAAAUUACCACAUGAAGUUGGACAAAAAUCACAUUCAAAAAAAAUUUGAUAAUUGAAAUCAAUAAAUCAGUAAUAGAAAUUUAUUAAAAUUAAUUAAAUCAACAGAAUCUUAAUGUAAGAGGUAGUUAUGCUAAAUAGGUACGCAGUCGGUCGAUUUGAUUUAAAAUCGAAUUGAAAUAAAUAAAUUAAAAAUUAAAAUUUUAGUUUUUAUAAAAAACAAUAAAAUCGAUUUUGAUUAGAAAUUAAAUCGAACUGAACCGGUUUGAUUGGGUUUGAAUUUUUAAUAAUUUUUUUUAUUUUUUUACAUUUUAUUUUUAGUAUUUUAAAAUUUAAUUGAAAUAUUUUAACCUUAAUCUAAUCUCUAUAUUAUUGAAAAUAAUAUACUAUUAUCACUAAUUGGUUCGAUUCGAUUUUUUUUAUUUUUUCUGAUAAAAAUUAAACCGAAUUAAAAUAAUCAAAAUUUUUGAAAUUAAAAACUGAAUCAAAUUAUAAUAAAUAAAAAAUCGAACCGAAUUUUUAAAUUAAUUUGGUUCGAUCGAUUUUUUCAAUUUGAAACGAAUACUAUCCACCCCUAAUGCUAAACCGCUAAAAAAAAUUAUAUAAUUUUACAUUAAAAAUAAAAAUAAAUAAAUGAAAUAAUAUAUUAUGAAAAUAAAUAAAUAAAGUAACUAUUUAAAGCUUGUUGGCUUCCUUUAAUGUUGUCUCUUUGAAAACCAGAUUGGUUAAUUUUGGUUAAACACAUAAUUCGAUCCCUCAAUUUUAUAUAAAAAAUCAAUUGGUAUCUAACUCUUUAUCGUUGAUUUUGGCUUUUGAUUUUUAUAAAUUAAAAUUAAAUUUAUUUAAUAUUUAAAUUUUAUAAAUGUAAUUAUUUAAAAAUUAUAAAAUAUAAUUAUUUUAAUUCUUAAAAUUUUGAAGUGAGUAUAAACCAAGUAUAAAUAUAAAAAAAUAUUUAAUAUUUAUUAUUUAUUAAUUUGCUCUACUUCACAUGAGAAUAUGCUUGAUAGGCAUUAUAGGUAAUACUUGCAUUCAAAAUUCUUAAAUUCAAGAUAUAAACUGUUUUAAAAAAAUUCAUUAUAUAUAUUUCAAUUAAUUUUGCCCAAAUUUAUAUAUAAAUAUUUAAUAUAAAAAUGUUUUAAGUUUAAUUUUAUAUUGGAUCAAAUUUAUAUUAAAUGUAAAAAAAAUAAUUUUUAGUAACAAGAUUCUUUUAAUUGCUGUGAAAAUAAAAAUUAGGUUACAACAAAUAUUAGAAUUAAUAAUAAAAAAUUCUAUAAUAACAUUAAUUUUAUUAUUAUAUUAACUAACAUAUAAUAAUAAUAUUUAUAGUUAUUAUUAUUGAUGCAUAAAAUGAUAUACUAAAUAAAAAUUUUAGAUAUUAUUAAAAAGUUAUUACAGUAAUAUUUAUUGAUUUUCAUAAUUAUUUUUUAGAAGCAAGAAAAAUUUUUAAAUUAAAAAAAAAUUCCUUCAUUUUAAAUCAAUUAAAUUAAAUUCUUAUAAAAUUCUUAAUUUGAAACAGAAUAUUAAAAAUAUAUCAAUAAUAAAAUUUAAUGGCACUAAUAAAAAAAUACAUUUAAUUAACAGUAAUAUAUUGCUUUAAAUUGUUUUUUUAACAAUAAUAAUUACAAUUUUAUAUUAUUAUUAUAAAUUUAUAACAUGAAAUAUAUACUUUUAAUAACAAAAAUUUUUAUUCUAAUUUGACUAUUUUCUUAUGGUGAUAAUAAUUUCAAAAUAUUAUUAUUAUUAUUAUUAUUAUUAUUGGCUUGCAUAUUAAUAAAUGAAAACAGUUGGAUAUCAUAGGGUACAGCCAGUUACAGAUGUAGAGCAUUAACAAGGCAUAUUCUAGCUUGGUGGCCAGUAUUAAUUAAUAGGACAUUGUAAGAUGCUAUCAUAACAAUUAUUGAGACUCUUAGCUCAAAUUUAUAGGUUGCUCAACUCAAAGCAAAAGUCCAAAUGGUAGCUGGAUCAGAUUUUCCAUCUUUCCUUUGCUUCCUACUUCAUAAUUGCUUCCUCCCUCCAUAAAUAAAACUACGUACAUUUAUACAUUUAAUUUUUGUGUCCAUUAUUUUACAAAAGAUUUAUUGCUUGUUUGCUUGUAAGGGGAAAUGAUAUUAUUAUCAUAUGGUUUUCUGAUUUAUUGAGCUUUUUUUUUCUUUUUAAUAUUUAAAAUUCUUAAUAAAAAUUGGAUGAGACUCGAAUUUAAUAUCCAAAAAUUAAAUGUUAUACUUUUUAACCAAUCGAAUUAGAUUGCAUAGGCUGAUUUACAGAUUUCAUACACCAAUAUAGGUAUAUGGGAGAUUUUUUUUUCUUUUAAUUGGAUAUCAUUUUGGUUUCAUUUUAUAGUUUAAAAAUUAUUUUUUGAAAAUUUAGGUUUUCGUCUUGAGAUUGCAGUAAUUAUUUGUACUAUUGCAUCCGUCACACUUAUUAGUAACUCUUUGCUUGUGUUUGGAUAUAAUUAAUAUAUAUAUAUAAUAUUAUCUUUUACUUUUUUUUCGUUUCAUAAUUUUUAUUCAUUUUUUUUUAUACAUAUUAAAAAAUAUAAUUUUUUUUUAUUAAUUUUUUAAUUAUAUAUAUCUUAAAUAUAUUAAAUUUUAUUAAAUAUUAAAAAAUAUUUUGAGAGAUUUUUUGAAAAUAAAAUAAAAUCAUAAUAGUAAAUUUAUAUGUUAUUAGAGUUUUUUAAAAAAAAAGCGGAUAAUAAUUUUAAUAAAAAAAGAUAAAUAAAAAUUAUUAAACGAAAGAAAUAUUUAAUAUUAACCUAUUAUUAAAUACUUAAUUUUAUAAAAAUUUAUAUUAAUUAAACAUAAAUUGGGCAUAUUAUCAGUGAUUUAUCAAAAAAAUAAAAAAAAUAUCUCAAUUUAGUACUUACUAUCCGUUAAAUUUUACAAAAUUUACUCUAAAUCUUACGAACUUUUAAAGAACGUAAACUAUUCUUACAUUAUCAAGAGUAACUUUAUCAUUCUAUAAAAAUUAAGAGUGUUGUUAGUGAUGUUGCGGAGAUUAGAUUGAUGACGUGGUCGAAAUAAAACUAUGUUAUGAUUGGCUAGAAUGUGUAAGGAAGACAAAGUGGGGUGGUGGACAGCUACUUCGACGCUCAAAUCAGUAUACUAUAAAACAGAGAUAAUACAAUAGUUUGCUUAGAACUUGAAUGGAAUCAGAGAAUAGAAUACUUUUAUCUCUAUGAUCCUUCUCCUUUUAUACUAUAAAAAUGUGGAGAUAAAUAUAGUAUUUCCUGAUAAUCCGACAAUGAUGUAGUUGGCUGUUUGAUAAGAGAUAUCGCCUGUUAAUAGGUUGUAAUCCCGCAAUUACAGGCGUAAUGGAGAUACUUGGAAUGUGCUUGAUAAUGGUAACCUUGUACCGAGACACGUCCUAUCUAGGGGAGGGUGAGUCUUGAUGAUGAACCGAGUGUUAAAGUAUCCAAGUCUUCCUUUCUUUGGGCGGGACUACAUCACUUACUUAUCAGAUUCUUGCCAUGUAGCCUAGUCUCGUGGUGAUAGCUCAUAGCCUACUUUGGGCGAUUGUUAUGUAGCAUCAAAGGUUCCUCCAUUAGUCUUCAAUUCUUCAAAUUCAAAGGAGAUAGCUAUUCUCGAGGUUUAAAGCACGUGGCCACCUGAGAUUGGUUUUUUGCUGUUCAUGCCGUUUCGCCUGUCUAGCCCCUUAAUGAUGACCGCAUUGCUUAUCAUGUUGCAUUUAAAACCUGUCGUCAAAACUGUAAUACCCGGCUAGACUCUAGUAUCGGAAUUCCUACCGUCCGGUGGAAUCUCGGAUGUCGAAAACCUCUAGAAGGGUAAAACCAUGUUUUUAUAAAAUGUUUUCAUGUAUUUUAUGGUUUUAAGUAAGAAAGAAAUUGAGUUUUGAAUGAAAAAGACCAUGGAGGGAAAUCCAGGUUCGGCCGCCGAACCUCAUGUUCGGCCGCCGAACUUGCAUGAGUUUUGGAGGCACUUUAGGCUUCCGAAGGUGGCCUGGCCAGCCCCUAUAAGAAGCCCCAUAGCCGAAAAUGGGCGAGUUUCUUCCCCAUUUCCGGCCAGAGGUGAGUCCAUGCUCUCCCAUGGUUGAUUUUGAUGAUUUUCCUCAAAUCUUUCAAGUUUUAACAAGUGUUUACUUGGUUUUUGAAGUUUUUGGAACUAAGAUCAAGUUGUGGAGCUUGGAGACCCAAGGAGCUAGAUUUCUCCUACCUCUAUGUUAAGGAUCGUUUAUCCUCUCGAUCUUCAAGAGGUAAGCUUAGAUCCUACCCUUCUUGUAUGUUUUAAGCAAGUUUUAUGAUGGUUUAGAGGGUAGAGAUGCAUGUUGAGGUUGGUUGAUUGUUGAUAGGGUUUAUGUUGAGUUUGUGGUUAAAGUAUGUUAUUUUGAGUUGUUUUGUGUGUUGUUAGGGUUUAGGUUAGUUUGAGACCCCUAUAUGCUUAUUUGUUGGUGUAUGCAUGUUGUAGAAUAGCUAAAUGCAUGUUUGAUUGGUUUGAGAGGCAAAAUGUGCAUGAGGAGGCUGAGUUCUGCCCUUUGGAAGAACUCAGGUUCGGCAGCCGAAGGCACUUUCGGCCGCCGAACCUGCCUGUGGAGGCAAGCCUUUGGCUGCCGAACCCUGUCCCCGAAAGUGGACUUUCGGCUCUGGAGGGGAGUUUCGACCGCUGAAGGUGCCGCCGAACAUGCAUGAGUUUCGGCUCUGGAACCACUUUCGGCCGCCGAAGGUGCCGCCGAAGGUGCCGCCGAAGGUGGCUGAGUUUCGGCUCUUGAGGGACUUUCGGCCGCCGAACCUGCCGCCGAAAGUGCCCUGUUCAGCCUUCCUUUGCAUGAUUUCUAUGAUUGUUUUAAGGUGUUUUUGGGGGUUUUUGGGGAGUAUUUUAGAGUCAUGUUCAUGUAUGUUUAGUCCCUCAUUUGAGUCCACCUGUGUAGGUUCGGACCCGAGGAAUCGAGGACCCCAGCAGUGAGAUAGCUGCUUCAGUGUCUUUUCAAAGCUAGCUUGAGGUGAGUGGAAUGGACCUUUAUUUCCAAAACAAAUAAACAAAUUUGAGCAUGUUCAUGCAUUACGAAUGCCAUGUGAUAUUUUAGGUUGUUUGCAUUAGAAUUCACGAAUAUGUUGCAUUGCAUAUUAUGUUGUUAAUGAGGAUGAACAUUGAGUGAUCUAUUAGCCCUUGUAUGGUAUGGUAUGAUAUGAUGAUGAUAUGAUAUGAUAUGGUAUGGUAUGUAAAACCAGUGAGACCCAUUCUACGCCCCUGGCAUGAUGUAAGAGAAAGACCAGUGAGGCCCAUGCUACGCCCUUGGCACGUUGGUAUGUUAUGUUAUGUUAUGCUAGGUUAAGAGAAAGACCAGUGAGGCCCAUUCUACGCCCCUGGCACGAUUGAAAUGUGUAGAGGGCUAUUGGUGACAAGUUCAUCCUUGAUGUGAUGCAUUCCAUAAUAGCAUAUGUUUUAAAUGUUUUUACUAUUCUACUCACUGGGCUCUAGUAGCUCACCCCACUCCCCUAACCCCAGGUUUGCAGGUACGGGAUAGACCAGGAUGUCAGCAGGAGUAAAGUUAUGUUUAUGUAAUAGCUAGUUGUGGACAUGAAAAAGUACAGUAAUGUAAUGUAAUGAUGUUUAUUGAGGUUUAGAGUUGUACUUGACCCUAGUAUAUUGGUUAAUCCCUUUUUAGUACAUGAUCUUUUAAUGAAAUGAUUUAUUGAUGUUUAUGUAAACCAAGCUUAAUGUAUGAUAUGUUGCCCCAUUGGAGCAUUUGAUGAGGGCUCCAAUGUGGGGUUUUAUGUUUCUGAGUUUGUGCAUGCAUAGAUUAAGCUUGGUAAAUGAAUGAAAAAGUUUAAAGUUUUUAUGUAUGUGUUUGAUCAUGUAUGGGAUUUAACAGGUAUACAGGAUGUAUGUUAGGCUUGCUACGGGUCCCGGCGGCCUUAUGCUGAUCUAGAUCCUAGCGCCGGUAGCGGUCCGGUUUUCGGAUCGUUACAGAUUGGUAUCAGAGCACUAGGUUCAUAUGGUCAGACCUAGAGAGUGUCGGGCUCAUAGAUGUUCUAGAAGGGCAAGCACAAUAGGAAAAUCAUGUCUACUAGGAUAGGAUGUAGAGUCCUGUCUUGAAUAAUGAUGUGAAAUGCCAUGAUUUUAUGCAUGUGCAUUGAUGAUAUGCUAUGUAUGAGUUGUAUGUGAUGCAAGUUUAUGUGUUUUCACAUGAACCAUGUGAUGCUAAUGUUUUAUGUGAUGUGUACUGUUUUUCAGUAAACAGGAUGAGAAGAACUCGUCGAUCUGCACGAUUGACUGGAGUAUCACCUCAGGAUGAGGGCACGGACGCCCGUCCUCCUGCAUUGCCAAGGGUAAUGUCCUGCAGGUCUAGCAGGGAGAGAACGUCAAGGGACCCUAGAAGGUCUUUUGAUGUGAGCAGAAAACGAACAGUUCAAGGUGGAGUGUCGGAAGAUGUGGGGGAUGUGAUGAAUGUGGAUCAGAGGAGGGAGAGUCUUAGGGAGGCACUCAGGCUUCGGGGUUUGUUCAACCACCCCAAUACCCACCCUUUUCACAGAAUCCCGGGUAUUCAAUGGGAGGUACAUCGGAUUACCCCAGUUUUAACCCUUAUCCUUCUCACAUGCCAUACCCAUCUUUCUACCCACCAUACUCACAGUACCCUAUGUACCCACCCCCAUCUUUCUAUCCAGGUACAGCAAACCCUAACCCAGGGGAUGUUGCAUCUCCUUCACCACUAGAAGAACCUGUAGUCCCAGAAGCCCAAGUACCUAAACCUAGCUCAUCUGGAGGGAGCAAGGUCAAAAUGACUGAUUACUUGAAGUUGGAUGCUCCUAAGUAUGAAACAGGUGAUGACUCGUUUGAGUACCUCAGGACGGUCAAGAUUAUUACAGAUGAGUUAGGGGCUGAUGAUAGUAGAGCCAUUCAGAUGGCUGGGUUCACACUGAAGUGCAAGAAGGCCCGUGAGUGGUUUAAAAAUUAUGUGAACCCGAGAGUGGAUAGUCUAUCAUGGGAGGAGUUUGCUAAUGAGUUUGCUGGAUGGGCUUUCCCUGAUAGCUCAAGGGAGUUGAAGAUGAUUGAGUUCGAACAGUUGAGGCAGACAGAGGAAAUGAGUGUAGAUGAGUACACAGAUAGGUUCUUGGAGCUGUUGCCGUUUGCAUGGCAAAAUCUUGACACAGAUCAGAAGAAGGCUAGGAGGUAUAUCAUGAGGCUUCAUUCCAGGUAUUCCUCCUUGAUCCAGUCAGUAGAGAGGGAGAGUUUCCAUGCCAUUGUGGAUAUGGCCUGGAGAAUGGAGGCUAGUGCAAUAAUAGAAGGGAAAGUCAGGCAGUCAGUGGCACAGCCUUCUGGUUCCAAGACCCCAGGUGGGGGAAGGUUAGACCCUUCUUUUCUGAGUUCAGCAGCUUCAGGCAGUAAGUGGUGAGGCAGUUCUUCGAGCUCAUUAAUGAAGGUUUGCAGUUGGAGUUGUCUGGUACAGGUGCUUUGAUAGCCCAGAUGAGAGUGACACCCGUGUUUCUGAAGCAGGUGGCUCAGAAAUAGCACGAGGACCCAGAGUUAGUGAAGAUUGCCAGGACCGUUCAGUCAGGCAAGAACGAAGAGUUUAGAUUUGACAGCAAAGGGAUCCUCCGCUAUGGGAAUAGAUUGUGUGUACCAGAUGACGUGGGUCUGAAGGGAGACAUUAUGAGGGAAGCUCAUAAUUCCAGAUACAGUGUUCACCCUGGAGCCACCAAAAUGUACCAGGAUCUAAAAAGGGUCUAUUGGUGGCCAGCUAUGAAAAGAGAAGUGGCACAGUUCGUGUCAACCUACGAAGUAUGUCAGAGGGUGAAACUGGAACAUCAGAAGCAGGUUGGAAUGCUUAACCCACUGUCGAUUCCAGAGUGGAAAUGGGAGAAUAUCGCUAUGGACUUCGUGGUGGGGCUACCGGCAACAUCCAACAGAUUAGACUCCAUAUGGGUGAUUGUGGACAGACUGACCAAAUCUGCUCACUUCAUUCCUGUCAAGAGUGGCUAUUCUGUGGACAAGUUGGCGCAGGUGUAUGUUGAUGAAGUUGUCAGGUUGCAUGGGGCUCCUGUUUCAAUAGUGUCUGAUAGAGGACCCCAGUUCACCUCCAGGUUUUGGCGGAGUCUGCAGAACACUAUGGGUACCAGGUUGGAUUUUAGCACUGCUUUCCAUCCUCAGACUGAUGGACAGUCAGAGAGGACCAUCUAGACUAUAGAAGAUAUGCUCAGAAUGUGUGUGCUAGAUUUUGGCGGUUCUUGGAGGCAGCAUCUACACUUGGUGGAGUUUGCCUACAAUAACAGCUAUCAUGCUAGCAUAAGGAUGGCUCCAUAUGAAGCUUUGUAUGGGAGGAAGUGCAGGUCACCUGUCUGUUGGGAAGAAGUUGGGGAAAUGUCCUUAGCAGGGCCUGAGUUAGUAGAGAUCACCAGCAGAGUGGUGCCCAUUAUCAGAGAAAGGAUCAGAACUGCUGCCAGUCGACAGAAAAGUUAUGCAGAUGUCCGCAGAAGACAAGUAGAGUUUCAGGAGGGGGAUUUGGUAUUGCUCAAGGUGUCUCCUAUGAAAGGGGUGAUUCGGUUUGGGAAGAAAGGUAAGCUAGCUCCGCGGUACAUCGGACCCUUUGAAAUCUUGUAAAAGAUCGGGAAUGUAUCGUAUAAGCUGGAUUUACCUGCUUCUAUGGAGAGAAUCCAUCCGGUUUUCCAUGUUUCCAUGUUAAGGAAGUUCGUGUCAAAUCCGGGCAAGGUUCUUAGCGAGCCUGAUGUGGAAAUCCAAGAAGAUCUCACUUAUGUUGAAUAGCCAGUACGGAUCCUAGACACCUAGAUCAGAAAGCUAAGGAACAAGGAAAUCCCGAUGGUGAAAGUCCUUUGGAAUCACCACAACAUCGAGUAGUAUACCUGGGAGACACGGGAGUCUAUGCUCCAGCAGUAUCCUCAUCUCUUCUAAGGUGAGUGUUAUCUGUUUUGUAUGUAUGUUUAUGUUUGAUGUUAUGCAUGCUUGUUUGGUGAACAUUCGGGGACGAAUGUUCUUAAGGAGGGAAGAAUGUAAUACCCAGCUAGACUCCGAUAUCAGAAUUCCUACCGUCCGGUGGAAUCUCGGAUGUCGAAAACCUCUAGAAGGGUAAAAUCAUGUUUUUAUAAAAUGUUUUCAUGUAUUUUAUGGUUUUAAGUAAGAAAGAAAUUGAGUUUUGAAUGAAAAAGACCAUGGAGGGAAAUCCAGGUUCGGCUGCCGAACCUCAUGUUCGGCCGCCGAACUUGCAUGAGUUUUGGAGGCACUUUAGGCUUCCGAAGGUGGCCUGGCCAGCCCCUAUAAGAAGCCCCAUGUCCGAAAAUGGGCGAGUUUCUUCCUCAUUUCCGGCCAGAGGUGAGUCCAUGCUCUCCCAUGGUUGAUUUUGAUGAUUUUCCUCAAAUCUUUCAAGUUUUAACAAGUAUUUACUUGGUUUUUGAAGUUUUUGGAACUAAGAUAAAGUUGUGGAGCUUGGAGACUCAAUGAGCUAGAUUUCUCCUACCUCCAAGUUAAGGAUCGUUUCUCCUCUCGAUUUUCAAGAGAUAAGCUUAGAUCCUAUCAUUCUUGUAUGUUUUAAGCAAGUUUUAUGAUGGUUUGGAGGAUAGAGAUGCAUGUUGAGGUUGGUUGAUUGUUGAUAGGUUUAUGUUGAGUUUGUGGUUAAUGUAUGUUAUUUUGAGUUGUUUUUGUGUGUUGUUGGGGUUUAGGUUAGUUUGAGACCCCUAUAUGCUUAUUUGCUGGUGUAUGCAUGUUGUAGAAUAGCUAAAUGCAUGUUUGAUUGGUUUGGGAGGCAAAAUGUGCAUGAGGAGGCUGAGUUUUGCCCUUUGAAAGAACUCAGGUUCGGCAGCCGAAGGCACUUUCGGCCGCCGAACCUGCCUGCGGAGGCAAGCCUUUGGCUGCCAAACCCUGCCCCCGAAAGUGGACUUUCAGCUCUGGAGGGGAGUUUCGGCCGCCGAAGGUGCUGCCGAACAUGCAUGAGUUUCGGCUCUGGAACCAUUUUCGGCCGCCGAAGGUGGCUGAGUUUCGGCUCUGGAGGGACUUUCGGCUGCCGAACCUGCCGCCGAAAGUGCCCUGUUCAGCCUUCCUUUGCAUGAUUUCUAUGAUUGUUUUAAGGUGUUUUAGGGGGUGUUUGGGGAGUAUUUUAGAGUCAUGUUCAUGUAUGUUUGGUCCCUCAUUUGAGUCCACCUGUGUAGGUUCGGACCCGAGGAACCGAGGACUCCAGCAGUGAGAUAGCUGCUUCAGUGUCUUUUCAGAGCUAGCUUGAGGUGAGUGGAAUGGACCUUUAUUUCCAAAACAAAUAAACAAAUUUGAGCAUGUUCAUGCAUCACGAAUGCCAUGUGAUAUUUUAGGUUGUUUGCAUUAGAAUUCACGAAUAUGUUGCAUUGCAUAUUAUGUUGUUGAUGAGGAUGAACAUUGAGUAAUCCAUUACCCCUUGUAUGGUAUGGUAUGAUAUGAUGAUGACAUGAUAUGAUAUGGUAUGGUAUGUAAAACCAGUGAGGCCCAUUCUACGCCCCUGGCAUGAUGUAAGAGAAAGACCAGUGAGGCCCAUGCUACGCCCCUGGCACGUUAGUAUGUUAUGUUAUGUUAUGCUAGGUUAAGAGAAAGACCAGUGAGGCCCAUUCUACGCCCCUGGCACGAUUGGAAUGUGUAGAGGGCUAUUGGUGACAAGUUCAUCCUUGAUGUGAUUUGUCUGUGAUGUGAUGCAUUCCAUGAUAGCAUAUGUUUUAAAUGUUUUUACUAUUCUGCUCACUGGGCUUUAGUAGCUCACCCCACUCCCUUAACCCCAGGUUUGCAGGUACGGAAUAGACCAGGAUGUCAGCAGGAGUAAAGUCAUGUUUAUGUAAUAGCUAGUUGUGGACAUGAAAAAGUACAGUAAUAUAAUGUAAUGAUGUUUAUUGAGGUUUAGAGUUGUGCUUGACCCUAGUAUGUUGGUUAAUCCCUUUUUAGUACAUGAUCUUUUAAUGAAAUGAUUUAUUGAUGUUUAUGUAAACCAAGCUUAAUGUAUGAUAUGUUGCCCCAUUGGAGCAUUUGAUGAGGGCUCCAGUGUGGGGUUUUAUGUUUAUGAGUUUGUGCAUGCACAGGUUAAGCUUGGUAAAUGAAUGAAAAAGUUUAAAGUUUUUAUGUAUGUGUUUGAUCAUAUAUGGGAUUUAACAGGUAUACAGGAUGUAUGUUAGGCUUGCUACGGGUCCCGGCGGCCUUAUGCCAAUCUGGAUCCUAGAGCCGGUAGCGGUCCGGUUUCCGGAUCGUUAUAAAAACCAUCUUAUAAAAGCUCUUCUUCUUCCCCAAAUACCAUUUUUACUAUCUCUUGUGAUCCUUUGCUUUCAAAAAAACUCGUUCAUAACUUCUUUUCUGCUUAUACUGCUUACGGUAAUUUUAUGUUUUCCUUCAGUAUGAACAGAAAUACUUCUUCUUCCAUUUCCCUCAGCCUGGGUUCUAUCUCUAGUUUCUCUUUUGAUGGCCCCAUUCGUGCCUCGGCCCCUAUCAUUCUGUUAAAGGAGGCUCUGAAAAGCGAAGAUGGCUUGAUUAGUGAUACCCUAUCUGUCCUCUCGGAAAGUGAUGUAGACUGUCUCUAUGAUACCUAUCAAAUUUCUCGAGAGGUUUUUCGUGUCUUUGCUCCUCCACGUGCCCAUAUGUGUAACGACCCGGAAACCGGAUUGCUAUCGGCGCUAGGAUCCAGAUCGACUUAAGGUCGCCGGAACCCGUAGCAAGCCUACUAUACAACCUGUACACCUGAUAAAAUCCCAUACAUGAUCAUACAUUUUCAUAAAAACUUUAAACUUUCCAUAUACCAAGCUUGACCCGUGCAUACACCAUACUGUAUAUAUAAAACCCCAUACUAGAGCCCUCAUCAAAUGCUCUAGUGGGGCAACAUAACAUAAGUCAAGCCUGGUUCAACAUAACUCAUCAUUAAAACAUUUCAUAAGAUCAUGUACAAAAGGGAUUAAUCAUACAUUAGGGCCAAGCACAAUACUAAUCCUCAUUACAACACUGAACAAUACCUUUCAUUACAUUACAUUAAUUUACAUAUCAUGUCCACUUCUAAUCUAUUACAAUAACACAGCUUUUACCCUUGACGACUUCCCGGUCUAUCCUGAACCUGCAAACCUGGGGGUUAGGGAAAGGGGUGAGCUACUAAAACCCAGUGAGCAGAACAAUAAAACAAUUUAAAUAUCACAUGCUUUUAUGAAAUGCAUCACAAUACAAGUAAAUCACCUUAAGAUGGUAUUGUCACCAAUAGCCCUCUACAUAUCCAAUAAAUGCCCGGCCCUCGACGGAGCUCCUCAGGACUUCCUCUUAAACAUAACAUAAUAUGUCCAACUGUGCCAGGGGCUUAGAAUGGGCAACCCUGGUGUUUCCCUUACUCUGUGCCAGAGGCGUAGAAUGGGCAACCCUAGUCUUUCCGUACCAUAUCAUAUCAUAUCAUAUCAAGGACUAAUGGAUCAUCCAAUGACCAUCCACAUCAACAUCAAAUUACGUAAUGCAUCAUAUUCGUGAAUUCUAAUGCAACAACCUAUAACCAUGGUAAUCGUGAUGCAUAAACAUGCUUAGGAGUUUAAUUACUUUUAAAAUAGAAAGUAGUUCUGUUCUACUCACCUCUGGCAGAUACUGGACUGACUCUGAAGCAGCUAUCUCACUGCUGGACUCUUCGGUUCCUCGGGUCUGAUCCUACACAGGUGUACUCAAAUGAGGGACCAAACAUACUCUAACAUGACUUUAAACAUCUCUCCAAAAACCCCUAAAACAUCAUAAAAUAUUCAUAGAAAACAUGCAAAGGAAGGCUGGACAGGGCACUUUCGGCGGCAGGUUCGGCGGCCGAAAGUCCCUCUAGAGCCGAAAGUCAGGCACUUUCGGGGGCAGGGUUCGGCGGCCGAAAGUCUUUCUAGAGCCGAAAGUCACCCACUUUCGGGGGCAGGUUAAGUGGCCGAAACUCCCCUCCAGAGCCGAAAGUCCAAACUCUCGAGGGCGAGUUUAGGCGGCCUAAACUGCCUUCCCUGGCAGGUUCGGCGGCCGAACCUGGAUCCUUCUAAAUGGCAGAACUCGAUUUUGCCAUCCCACAUUUAGCCAUCCCAACUUUCCAACAUGCAUUCAACUAUUCUAAAACAUGCAUAAACACUUAUUCAAGCAUAUAGGGGCAUAAAACUAGCCUAUACCCCAACAAACAUCACAUUAAGCAUACAUUUAUCAAUAACCACACAUAAACCCUAACAUUUUACAACUAGCCUAAACAUCCAUCAAAACCCCUUAACCCUUCAUAAAACUUACUUAAAACACGAAAGAAGAGAAGGAUCUACACUUACCUCUUGAAGAUCGAGAGGAGGGUGAUCCAAACUUGGAGAUUGGGAGAAAUCGAGCUCCGGGGGUCUCCAAGCUUCAAAACUCCGAUCUUAGCUCAAAAUCUUAAAAAACAAGUAAAAACUCAUCAAAACUUGAAGGGAUUUGAAGGAAAACAACAAAUCGACUAAGGAAGGGCGAAAUCUCACCUAUGCCCGAAAAUAGAGAGAGAAAACUCUCCCAUUUUCGGACAAGGGGCCUGAUUCGCGGUUGUCGAAGCCGGUCAAAAAUAACCUUUCUGUUUAUCAACAAUUUUUAUAUUUGCAGAUAGUGGUGAAAGGAUCGAAUCCACAGAGAAUUGAGAACUCACCUAUUUCUCUUUUUAUGACCAAGAAAAUAAACUGAAAUGGUAAUAAAUUAAAAAUGAGAUAAAAACUGAAAGCGGGAUAAAACGAGAUAAACUGAAAUUGGGAUCAAAACUGUCAACAAAAUAACAGGGAGGGUUUGAGAUUGAUUGUAG
rnacentral:lncRNA from 1 species